ACAACAUCUCGAAAGGGAUGCUAAUACCGCAUACGUCCUACGGGAGAAAGCAGGGGAUCUUCGGACCUUGCGCUAAUAGAUGAGCCUAAGUCGGAUUAGCUAGUUGGUGGGGUAAAGGCCUACCAAGGCGACGAUCUGUAGCGGGUCUGAGAGGAUGAUCCGCCACACUGGGACUGAGACACGGCCCAGACUCCUACGGGAGGCAGCAGUGGGGAAUAUUGGACAAUGGGGGGAACCCUGAUCCAGCCAUGCCGCGUGUGUGAAGAAGGCCUUAUGGUUGUAAAGCACUUUAAGCGAGGAGGAGGCUACUCUAGUUAAUACCUAGGGAUAGUGGACGUUACUCGCAGAAUAAGCACCGGCUAACUCUGUGCCAGCAGCCGCGGUAAUACAGAGGGUGCGAGCGU
rnacentral:rRNA from 1 species